UUGCCAGCGUUCCUUCUCCAGCAGAAAAUAAACUGCAUUCAAUUGAGACUGCAAGACUGAGAGGACUUGGAGGGAUUAGAAAUGGAUUCACUUGCAAAGGUUUAUUGAAGUCAAAAUGUCCAAAAAAAUCAGUGGUGGUUCUGUGGUAGAGAUGCAAGGAGAUGAAAUGACACGGAUCAUCUGGGAAUUGAUAAAAGAAAAACUCAUUUUUCCCUAUGUGGAACUGGAUCUACAUAGCUAUGAUUUAGGCAUAGAGAAUUGUGAUGCCACCAGCAACCAAGUCACCAAGGAUGCUGCAGAGGCCAUAAAAAAAUACAACGUAGGGGUCAAGUGUGCUACUAUCACCCCGAUGAGAAGAGGGUUGAGUAGUUCAAGUUGAAACAAAUGUGGAAAUCACCGAACGGCACCAUCCAAAAUAUUCUAUGUGGCACUGUCUUCAGGGAAGCUAUUAUCUGCAAAAAUAUCCCCCGGCUUGAGAGUGGAUGGGUGAAACCCAUCAUCAUAGGUCAUCACGCUUAUGGGGACCAAUACAGAGCAACUGAUUUUGUUGUUCCUGGGCCUGGAAAAGUAGAGAUAACCUACACACCAAAUGAUGGAACCCAAAAGGUGACAUACUUGGUACAUAACUUUGAAGAUGGUGGUGGUGUUGCCAUGGGUAUGUACAUUUAAGAUAAGUCAAUCCAAGAUUUUGCACACAGUUCUUUCCAAAUGGCUCUGUCUAAGGGUUGACCUUUGUAUCUGAGCACCAAAAGCACUAUUCUGAAGAAAUAUGAUGGACGUUUUAAAGACAUCUUUCAGGAGAUAUAUGACAAGCAGUACAAAUCCCAAUUUGAAGCCCAGAAGAUCUGGUAUGAACAUAGGCUCAUCGAUGACACGGUGGCCCAAGCCACCAGAAAUCAGAAGGAAGCUUCAUUUGGGCCUGCAAAAACUAUGAUGGUGACGUGCAGUCGGACUCUGUGGCCCAAGGUUAUGGUUCUCUUGGCAUGAUGACCAGUGUGCUGGUUUGUCCAGAUGGCAAAACAGUAGAAGCAGAGGCAGCCCAUGGGACCGUAACCCAUCACAACCGCAUGUACCAGAAAGGACAGGAGACAUCCACUCAUCCCAUUGCUUCCAUUUCUGCCUGGACCAGAGGAUUAGCCCACAGAGCAAAGCUUGAUAACAAUAAAGAACUUGACCUCUUUGCAAAGGCUUUGGAAGAAGUCUGUAUUGAGACCAUUGAGGCUGGCUUCAUGACCAAGGACUUGGCUAUUUGCAUUAAAGGUUUACCUAACGUGCAACGUUCUGACUACUUGAAUACAUUUGAAUUCAUGGACAAACUUGGAGAAAACUUGAAGAUAAAGCUGGCCCAGGCCAAACUUUAAGGCCAUACUUGGCUUAGGAGGAUAAAUGUUUUCUGGUAACUAGGUCCACAGGUUUACAUUUUUCUGUAUGACACUCAAGGAUAAAGACAAAAUGAAUUUUAUAAUUUGUUUAGAAGCCAGAGUUUAUCUUUUCUGUAAGUUUACAGCCUUACACAUACAGUUAUUGCCACCUUCAUGAAUGUGGCAAGGGACUUGUUUUUAAAUUUUAUUUUAUUUUCUAGUAGCAGCCUAGGAAUUAGGUUAGUACUCAUUUGUACUGAUUAUCACUUCUUUUCAAAUUCUGAUAUAAAUGACCAAAAUUAAGAGUGCUCAAAAGGAUAAAUGGUAGUAGCUAUAGUACUAUUCCCUAAAAUAUGUAAAGUGGAAAUUCACUCCCUUGCCCUCUUGUCCAUGACCUUGGGCACUGGGAUAUCUCAGUAUUACAGAUGUCCCAUUAUGUAAGAUGGAACUGUACAUUGAACUUGCACAUGACUGGAACAAAGUAUGAGUGUAACCGAAAUGUGAAAAUAGUACAGUUAUUUGUGAAGAGUAUAUUGAAGGUUCCUAAUAUACUAAAUACUUUCAAAGCCAUUGGAGAGUUUGGAAUCCAGAAUAAAUGUUACCUGGAGGUUUGUACUCUUCUUCUGUCUCUUCCUCCUCCUGGCCUAGCCUGGCCUGAAAAUUAUGCUACCAUACGCAGCAUAUUUCAUCCAAGUGCAAUAAUGUAAGCUGCAUCCUUUUUUGUACUUCUGCUGACCUGUUUCAUUUCUUUUAUAUAAAUGUGAUUUCUCAGAAGCUUAAUAAACACUACUCUAGUCCUUUUCUUCA